ACGUCCCCGUGGAGUGUCCGUAGGGAUGGGAGCUGCUGGCGGCGCUGGGGAGCGCUGGCGGCGCUGGGAACUGCCGGUGGCACUGGGAACCGCUGGGGUCACUGGGAACUGCCGGUGGCACUGGGAACCACUGGGGUCACCAGGAAACGCUGGUGGCACUGGGAACUGCUGGGGUCACUGGGAACUGCCGGUGGCACUGAGAACUGCUGGGGUCACUGGGAAACGCUGGUGACACUGAGAACUGCUGGGGUCACUGGGAACUGCUGGGGUCACUGGGAACUGCUGGGGUCACUGGGAACUGCUGGAGUCACCGGCUUCCUUUGGUGGCGCUGGGAUCCACCAGUGGCACUGGGAACUGCCGGGGAUCUGAAGAGCAC